UAAGCGGAGGAAAAGAAACUAACAAGGAUUCCCCUAGUAGCGGCGAGCGAAGCGGGAAGAGCUCAAAUUUAUAAUCUGGCACCUUCGGUGUCCGAGUUGUAAUCUCUAGAAGUGUUUUCCGCGUUGGACCGCACACAAGUCUGUUGGAAUACAGCGGCAUAGUGGUGAAACCCCCGUAUAUGGUGCGGACGCCCAGCGCUUUGUGAUACACUUUCAAUGAGUCGAGUUGUUUGGGAAUGCAGCUCAAAUUGGGUGGUAAAUUCCAUCUAAAGCUAAAUAUUGGCGAGAGACCGAUAGCGAACAAGUACCGUGAGGGAAAGAUGAAAAGCACUUUGGAAAGAGAGUUAACAGUACGUGAAAUUGUUGGAAGGGAAACGCUUGAAGUCAGACUUGCUUGCCGGAGCUUGCUUCGGUUUGCAGGCCAGCAUCAGUUUUCCGGGGUGGAUAAUGACGGUUUGAAGGUAGCAGUCUCGGCUGUGUUAUAGCUUUCCGUUGGAUACAUCCUGGGGACUGAGGAACGCAGCGUGCUUUUUGCGAAAGACUCGUCUUUUUCACGCUUAGGAUGCUGGUGGAAUGGCUUUAAACGACCCGUCUUGAAACAC
rnacentral:rRNA from 1 species